rnacentral:piRNA from 1 species
CGCCGUCUUAAGAGUUGUAACACACA